rnacentral:rRNA from 1 species
UGAGGAAUAUUGGUCAAUGGCCGGAAGGCUGAACCAGCCAAGUCGCGUGAGGGAAUAAGGCCCUACGGGUCGUAAACCUCUUUUGUCGGGGAGCAAUGGGUGACUUGCGAGUCAUCAGGGAGAGUACCCGAAGAAAAAGCAUCGGCUAACUCCGUGCCAGCAGCCGCGGUAAUACGGAGGAUGCGAGCGUUAUCCGGAUUUAUUGGGUUUAAAGGGUGCGCAGGCGGUACGGAAAGUCAGCGGUAAAAUUACGGAGCUCAACUCCGCCGAGCCGUUGAAACUUCCGCACUAGAGUGAGCGAGAAGUAAGCGGAAUGCGUGGUGUAGCGGUGAAAUGCAUAGAUAUCACGCAGAACGCCGAUUGCGAAGGCAGCUUACCCGGCGCCAACUGACGCUCAGGCACGAAAGUGCGGGUAUCGAACAGGAUUAGAUACC